rnacentral:lncRNA from 1 species
UAUAGCUGUUUCAAUAAUUAGGUCUUUCCACCUUUCCGUGGAAAGACCUAUUGAAUUUGUUCUGAUUAUUAUUAUUAUUAUUAUUUUUUUUUUUUUCUUCCGCCUAAUUUUUUUUCUUGCGUAUUAUUGAUGUUUCAAAAGAUGUCGCUUAGAUAUUUGGAAUAUGGUAUCGUAUAGUUUAUACGCUUUAAAACUUUACAACUGUGUAACAAAAUACUUUACGUUGUAAGAGUUAUCUCCCAAACACUGUUUUUCUUGUGGCCACUACUCCUUCGCAACCGUUAAAGAUUACGACAAAUUUAUUUUACCAAAUUGCUCGUUACAUCUUCAGGAUUAGGAUAUUCAUUUGGACCGAAGCUUUACGGAGACUCCAUAUGAGAGUUAUUCCCCCUUUUCCAUUUAAUUAAGUGAUAUGCAUUUCUAAAUGGUAAACCAUAAGUAAUAAAGACAUAGGGUCUUUAGAUUUGGGGUCCUUGGUCGAAAAUAAUAAAAAUGAGGUCAAGGUCAAAGGUCAAGGUCAUAUUCUAAAUUUUUGAUUUUGGCUUAUUUUCAUUUAUUUUCAAAUACCUUAUGACAUAUCGACAAAUAAUUUUUCAUAAAUUGUUAGUUGCGACAUGUCCUUACUUGUAUAUUUUGAUUGAAAGGGUGCGCAGACAAUAAAUGGGAGUUUUUGCCCAUCUUACAUUUAGAAUUACGCGUAAAGUGAUAUUACUAAUAAACCAAACAUAUUAAAGACCUUGGGUCUUUUGAUUUAAGGUCCUUGGUUUGUGAACUUGAAAUUGAGGUCAAGGUCAUAGGUUGAUAUGACGUUCUAGAUUUUGACCUUUGCUUUAAAUUCAUAUAAAUACAUCAUAAAGCCAUAGGAACUAACAUUUUAAACUGAUUUUUAAUAUUUCAAUAUCAAAAUAGAUCUUUACUAGUGGAAAGACCUACAAUUGUUCUCUGAACAAUUGGUUUUUAAUU